GACGAACGCUGGCGGCGUGCUUAACACAUGCAAGUCGAACGGAAAGGCCCUGCUUUUGUGGGGUGCUCGAGUGGCGAGCGGGCGAGUAACACGUGAGUAACCUGCCCUUGACUUUGGGAUAACUUCAGGAAACUGGGGCUAAUACCGGAUAGGAGCUCCUGCUGCAUGGUGGGGGUUGGAAAGUUUCGGCGGUUGGGGAUGGACUCGCGGCUUAUCAGCUUGUUGGUGGGGUAGUGGCUUACCAAGGCUUUGACGGGUAGCCGGCCUGAGAGGGUGACCGGCCACAUUGGGACUGAGAUACGGCCCAGACUCCUACGGGAGGCAGCAGUGGGGAAUAUUGCACAAUGGGCGGAAGCCUGAUGCAGCAACGCCGCGUGCGGGAUGACGGCCUUCGGGUUGUAAACCGCUUUCGCCUGUGACGAAGCGUGAGUGACGGUAAUGGGUAAAGAAGCACCGGCUAACUACGUGCCAGCAGCCGCGGUGAUACGUAGGGUGCGAGCGUUGUCCGGAUUUAUUGGGCGUAAAGGGCUCGUAGGUGGUUGAUCGCGUCGGAAGUGUAAUCUUGGGGCUUAACCCUGAGCGUGCUUUCGAUACGGGUUGACUUGAGGAAGGUAGGGGAGAAUGGAAUUCCUGGUGGAGCGGUGGAAUGCGCAGAUAUCAGGAGGAACACCAGUGGCGAAGGCGGUUCUCUGGGCCUUUCCUGACGCUGAGGAGCGAAAGCGUGGGGAGCGAACAGGCUUAGAUACCCUGGUAGUCCACGCUGUAAACGGUGGGUACUAGGUGUGGGGUCCAUUCCACGGGUUCCGUGCCGUAGCUAACGCUUUAAGUACCCCGCCUGGGGAGUACGGCCGCAAGGCUAAAGCUCAAAGGAAUUGACGGGGCCCCGCACAAGCGGCGGAGCAUGCGGAUUAAUUCGAUGCAACGCGUAGAACCUUACCUGGGUUUGACAUGGAUCGGGAGCGCUCAGAGAUGGGUGUGCCUCUUUUGGGGUCGGUUCACAGGUGGUGCAUGGCUGUCGUCAGCUCGUGUCGUGAGAUGUUGGGUUAAGUCCCGCAACGAGCGCAACCCUUGUUCACUGUUGCCAGCACGUUAUGGUGGGGACUCAGUGGAGACCGCCGGGGUCAACUCGGAGGAAGGUGGGGAUGACGUCAAGUCAUCAUGCCCCUUAUGUCCAGGGCUUCACGCAUGCUACAAUGGCUGGUACAGAGAGUGGCGAGCCUGUGAGGGUGAGCGAAUCUCGGAAAGCCGGUCUCAGUUCGGAUUGGGGUCUGCAACUCGACCUCAUGAAGUCGGAGUCGCUAGUAAUCGCAGAUCAGCAACGCUGCGGUGAAUACGUUCCCGGG
rnacentral:rRNA from 1 species